UAAGACGAACCGUGCGAACGUUGUUCGGAAUCACUGGGCUUAAAGGGCGCGUAGGCGGGCCGCCAAGUCCGGGGUGAAAGCCCCCAGCUCAACUGGGGAAUGGCCUGGGAUACUGGCGGCCUCGAGGGAGGUAGGGGCGGUCGGAACUUCCGGUGGAGCGGUGAAAUGCGUAGAUAUCGGAAGGAACGCCGGUGGCGAAAGCGGACCGCUGGGCCUUUACUGACGCUGAGGCGCGAAAGCCAGGGGAGCGAACGGGAUUAGAUACCCCGGUAGUCCUGGCCCUAAACGAUGGGUACUAGGUAGGGGGCUUGCAUGGGCCCCCUGCCGAAGCCAAAGUGCUAAGUACCCCGCCUGGGGAGUAUGGUCGCAAGGCUG
rnacentral:rRNA from 1 species